rnacentral:rRNA from 1 species
CCUACGGGGCGCAGCAGUGGGGAAUAUUGGACAAUGGGCGAAAGCCUGAUCCAGCCAUGCCGCGUGUGUGAAGAAGGCCUUCGGGUUGUAAAGCACUUUCAGUGGGGAAGAAAGCCUUGGGGCUAAUACCCUCGAGGAAGGACAUCACCCACAGAAGAAGCACCGGCUAACUCCGUGCCAGCAGCCGCGGUAAUACGGAGGGUGCGAGCGUUAAUCGGAAUUACUGGGCGUAAAGCGCGCGUAGGCGGUCUGAUAAGCCGGUUGUGAAAGCCCCGGGCUCAACCUGGGAACGGCAUCCGGAACUGUCAGGCUAGAGUGCAGGAGAGGAAGGUAGAAUUCCCGGUGUAGCGGUGAAAUGCGUAGAGAUCGGGAGGAAUACCAGUGGCGAAGGCGGCCUUCUGGACUGACACUGACGCUGAGGUGCGAAAGCGUGGGUAGCAAACAGGAUUAGAUCCCCUGUAGUC